AAAACGUUUUCUUUUUAAACAUUUUAUUCGAUUCUGGCUGUACAAUAGUUUAACACGAUUUGUAUUUCAGUAAUUGAUUAAACGUAAUAUAUUCGUGGCGUCAAUGGAUAUGAGAAUAUUUUUAUAGAAUGCGUGCUGCAUUAAUACAACGGAAUUUAGUGCCUAUGAAUGGUGCACACGGCAACCAUUACACGUUUAAAUUUUUUAAAUAAAAUAAAAGAUCCGUGAUUUUCAUCAAUUGGUACAAUAAUUUAUUUUUUUUUAUACAUUUGUUGCAAAUUUAUCUGUGUUUUUAAUUUUUUAAUUUGGACAAUACCCAAA